UGGCAAACCUGUCGAAAGACAGGGACGCAAAGCUAACGGGUCUAAACCAGACAGAAUGGUAUGACAGCCAGCUGC
rnacentral:ncRNA from 1 species